GACGUCACGGCGGCGGCUGCCGGGAGCCCCCGGGCCGGGACGGCUCCGGCCGGGCCCCGCGGGCCUUGCGUGGCUCCGGCAUCCCCCGCCAUGCGCAGCGGGGAGUCCCGGGGAGCUCCGGGCUGGCUAGCUGGAAUGGAAGCGCCGUAGCGAGCUGGCUCUUAGAAAGGCUGAAUGCUUGGAGUCAGUCACAGAAAAUUUGCUGCUGUCACAUCAUCUCUUGCCUUGGAGCCCGGCUCAGGCUUACAGUAAUUCGUGUUGCACAUCACAGUAAGCAGCUCCAGGUGUCAACUGAGCAAAGUCCAGAUCAGCUGCAGUUAUUCCAGAGUAUGCGUCCACAUGCAGAAUAUUCCAGAACAGACAAAUCCUAAACCUGUAUGGAUCCAGGGUUGCCCUUACCAUUCCUGGAGCUCUCCACUUCCUGCUUUUCCUGUUGCUUUCUGCAGCCAGCUUCACAAAACCCAAACAGGAAUAAUGGGUAAAAUAAAUAUUUCCAGCUGAGGAUUCUGCUUCCAGGUUCAGUAGUAAAUGGUAAUUAUUAGUCAAUAUGCACAAACUACUUCAUUUCCUUAGCACAUCAGGCCACACUGGAGGUAAAGCAUAACUUGGGAAAUGGGUUGCAUAUCUCGUUCUGAGCACAAGAUGCCAAGGAAAACACUGGAGCACACAAACCAUAACAUCU